rnacentral:rRNA from 1 species
CCCUAUUAUAUUUAAUAUAAAUUUAAUUUUGAGUAGUAUAUGAUUUGGACAGGAAACUUAAAGAAUUUGGCGGUGUUCAUUCUAAUUAGAGGAAUAUGUUUUUGAAUUGAUAAUCCACAAUUAUCUUGCUUAAGUUUGUUUAUUAUGUAUAUCUCCGUCUUAAAAAGAUUUUUUAAAAUAUUCUUUAUAUUUUAUAAUUUAAAAUAAGUCAGGUCAAGGUGCAGGUUAUAUUUAAGUUAAAAUGUAUUACAAUAAAAUUAUUUUUGGAUUAUAUUUUAAAAUAUAUAUGAAAUUGGAUUUAUUAGUAAAUUUUUUUUUAUUAUAAUUAAUUGAAUAAUGUUAAUGAGUAUGCACACAUC